GCAUAUUUAUUCUGCUCAGGUGACUGCAGUUUGUGCUCAAAUGCAGUUUAAAAGGGAAGCAGGUGUAAAUCCUGCACGGUCCCGCCGCUGUAUGGGAAGAUAUGUUUCCUUAAUUUUUGCCACUGGUUUGUUUCGGGAAGGCAGGGAAAUAUGAAUGAAGCCCAAGUCAGAAGACCUGCCUGGGUCAGAUGUGCUGA
rnacentral:ncRNA from 2 species